rnacentral:tRNA from 1 species
GUAUGCACAUGGCACGCGUGUAUACAUGUUACACGCAUGUAUACAUGUUACACGCAUGUAUACAUGUUACACGCAUGUGUACAUGUU